UAUUUAAUACCGUUAGUUGUGGACCCCACCUAUCAGCCACGGGGCCUACCUAUCAGCCUCUCUCUUUUUUCUCGUCCUUCCAUCUUCUUCCUCCUUUCCUCCCCGCAAGCCAUCCUCCUUCCCUACCGAGCCCCCACGCCGGCGGCCCUCCUUCCCCAUCGAGCCCCCGCGCCGGCGGUCCUCCCUGCGCCACCUCAUCCCCGCCCCCGCGCUGGCC
rnacentral:lncRNA from 1 species